GAUGAACGCUGGCGGCGUGCUCAACACAUGCAAGUCGAACGAAGCAUAUUAAACAGAUUCUUUCGGGAUGACGUUUUUUAUGACUGAGUGGCGGACGGGUGAGUAACGCGUGGGUAACCUGCCUCAUACAGGGGGAUAGCAGUUGGAAACGACUGGUAAUACCGCAUAAGCGCACAGGACCGCAUGGUCUAGUGUGAAAAACUCCGGUGGUAUGAGAUGGACCCGCGUCUGAUUAGCUAGUUGGUAAGGUAACGGCUUACCAAGGCGACGAUCAGUAGCCGACCUGAGAGGGUGACCGGCCACAUUGGGACUGAGACACGGCCCAA
rnacentral:rRNA from 1 species